rnacentral:lncRNA from 1 species
UCCCCGGAACCCACGCAGCUUCGCCAACACAAGAGAUGGUAAGCUAGCUAGGUAUAGUACGUUCAAGGAGGAGAAAGGCCGGACGCGAGAGAUGGACGCCGUCGGCGCAGCUGGCGGUGGCGCCAUGCUCCCCGCCGCCGCCAGGCGCGGCCAGCCGCCGCAGCCACCGUGCAUGACGACGGCGCCGGAGCAGCAGGCCGCCGCCGGCGGCGCCGUGAUCUGGCCGGCGGCGGCGGCGGCGGAGGCCAAGGAGAAGAUGGUCGUCGACGCCCGGACCAUGCAGCUCUUCCCCACGCGAUCCGCAGACGGCGUCGUCGUGUCGCCGGCUCCGGCGCCGGCGGCGGCCCAAGAACGACGACGGCCGGAAGUGCAUGUGACGCCGUCGGUGCCGGCGACGGCGCCGACGGCGCCAUUGACCAUCGUCUACGGCGGCCAGGUGCUGGUGUUCGAGCACUACACGGCGGAGGCGGCCGAGAAGCUGGUGCAGCGCACGCAGCAUCUGCUGGCUGCGGCCGCCGGCGGCGGCGGUGGGAACAAAAACAAUAAUGUCACCGUUGUGACUCCCCCGCCGGACGAGCCGCCCAUGCUGCUGCCGCCGCCGCAGAUGCCGGCUGCCUCGGGGGUCUCCGCCGGCGGCGUGAUGCCGAUCGCCAGGAAGGCGUCGCUGCAGCGAUUCCUCCAAAAGAGGAAGCAAAAGUGAGCCUUCUGAG